rnacentral:tRNA from 1 species
GCUAGAGUAGCACAGUGGAUAGAGCACCAGUCCUGAAAUCAGGAGGACUUGAGUUCAAAUCUGGUCUCAGGCA